rnacentral:rRNA from 1 species
AGUGAACGCUGGCGGUAGGCCUAACACAUGCAAGUCGAACGGCAGCACAGUAAGAGCUUGCUCUUACGGGUGGCGAGUGGCGGACGGGUGAGGAAUACAUCGGAAUCUACUUUUUCGUGGGGGAUAACGUAGGGAAACUUACGCUAAUACCGCAUACGACCUACGGGUGAAAGCAGGGGAUCUUCGGACCUUGCGCGAUUGAAUGAGCCGAUGUCGGAUUAGCUAGUUGGCGGGGUAAAGGCCCACCAAGGCGACGAUCCGUAGCUGGUCUGAGAGGAGGAUCGGCCACACUGGAACUGAGACACGGUCCAGACGCCUACGAGAGGCAGCAGAGGGGAAUAUUGGACAAUGGGCGCAAGCCUGAUCCAGCCAUACCGCGUGGGUGAAGAAGGCCUUCGGGUUGUAAAGCCCUUUUGUUGGGAAAGAAAAGCAGCAGGUUAAUACCCCGCUGUUCUGACGGUACCCAAAGAAUAAGCACCGGCUAACUUCGUG